AUGCUCACAAAGUAACUGUGAAAUGCUUGAUAUGUUAGCCAUAUCACAGCCAGCUUUGAUGAGCGUUA